CCCAUCUGGGCUACUAUAACCACAUGGACCAUCCCUUGCUUCAAUCAUAGAAUUCUUUCUUCAGAUCAAAGUAUAUUCAGACACCCGAUACAGUAACAAAAGCAAGCUAUCCUGGAAACAAGAAGGAAUCAGGAGGCAGAGCACAUGGUUAAAGCAUGAGAUGUGAAACCAGGAAGAACCAGGUCUGAACCUUAGCUCCACCAGUGGUAGCCCCAAACCUUGGUCCUUUCUGAGCCUGCUUCUUCAACCCUAAGAGCAAGACCAAAAGCAGCUUCAAUUAUGGUACAACUGUGUGAAGACACAAUGCGAAACCACUCAAGAAUGCUCACUCAAAUGGAUUUUUACCAUGGAACUCGGAAACGGGACCCAGAAAGUUGUUUUCUGCAAGUGGAUGGAACAACACAAGCAAUCAGUAUCCUGAAACAGGCCCUGUUCCAACAAACUGACCCAGAAAGGUCUGGUUAGGAGGACAGGACCCUCACUAUACACUAUCACAUUUAAACUAAAAGGAUAUUAUGGAAUUAUGUAGACAUAUCAAGCUGAGAGGAAAGGAAAUCCUAUCAUCUUGCAGGCUUCCUAAUGAUCUUACUUAAAACUGAGUUACUGCAACAAUAA
rnacentral:antisense_RNA from 1 species